rnacentral:rRNA from 1 species
AACGUAGGAGGCGAGCGUUAUUCGGAUUUACUGGGCGUAAAGCGCGUGCAGGCGGUUCGGUAAGUUGGAUGUGAAAGCUCCUGGCUCAACUGGGAGAGGUCGUUCAAUACUGUCGGACUAGAGGAUGAGAGAGGGAGGUGGAAUUCCGGGUGUAGUGGUGGAAUGCGUAGAUAUCCGGAGGAACACCAGUGGCGAAGGCGGCCUCCUGGCUCAUUUCUGACGCUAAGACGCGAAAGCUAGGGUAGCAAACGGGAUUAGAUACCCCUGUA